rnacentral:rRNA from 1 species
GAUGAACGCUAGCGGCAGGCUUAACACAUGCAAGUCGAGGGGCAGCGCGGGUAGCAAUACUUGGUGGCGACCGGCGCAAGGGUGCGUAACGCGUGAGCAACAUGCCCGUAUCAGGGGGAUAAUCCAGGGAAACUUGGUCUAAUACCCCAUAGCAAUUAAAGGAGGCAUCUUUUUAAUUUAAAGCUUUGGUGGAUACGGAUUGGCUCGCGUGACAUUAGCUAGAUGGUAAGGUAACGGCUUACCAUGGCUACGAUGUCUAGGGGUUCUGAGAGGAAGAUCCCCCACACUGGAACUGAGACACGGUCCAGACUCCUACGGGAGGCAGCAGUGAGGAAUAUUGGACAAUGGAUGGAAAUCUGAUCCAGCCAUGCCGCGUGCAGGAAGACGGCCCUAUGGGUUGUAAACUGCUUUUGAUGGGAGCAAUAAGGUCUAUGCGUAGACUGAUGAGAGUACCUACGAAUAAGCAUCGGCUAACUCGUG